UACGGAGGGGGCUAGCGUUGUCCGAAGUUACUGGGCGUAAAGCGCGUGUAGGCGGGUCGUUAAGUUGGGGGUGAAAUCCCGAGGCUCAACCUCGGAACUGCCUUCAAAACUGGCGACCUGGAGCGAGAUAGAGGCAAGUGGAAUUCCGAGUGUAGAGGUGAAAUUCGUAGAUAUUCGGAGGAACACCAGUGGCGAAGGCGACUUGCUGGAUCUCUGCUGACGCUGAGACGCGAAAGCGUGGGGAGCAAACAGG
rnacentral:rRNA from 1 species